rnacentral:rRNA from 1 species
UACGUAGGGUGCGAGCGUUGUCCGGAAUUAUUGGGCGUAAAGGGCUCGUAGGCGGUUUGUCGCGUCGGGGAGUGAAAAACCUACAGCUUAACUGUGGGCUUGCUUUCGAUACGGGCAGACUAGAGGUAUGCAGGGGAGAACGGAAUUCCUGGUGUAGCGGUGAAAUGCGCAGAUAUCAGGAGGAACACCGGUGGCGGAGGCGGUUCUCUGGGCAUGAUCUGACGCUGAGGAGCGAAAGUGUGGGGAGCGAACAGG